CAGGACGAACGCUGGCGGCGUGCUUAACACGUGCAAGUCGAGCGAUGAAGCUCUUCGGGAGUGGAUAGCGGCGGACGGGUGAGUAACACGUGGGUAACCUGCCUCAUAGAGGGGAAUAGCCUUUCGAAAGGAAGAUUAAUACCGCAUAAGAUUGUAGUACCGCAUGGUACAGCAAUUAAAGGAGUAAUCCGCUAUGAGAUGGACCCGCGUCGCAUUAGCUAGUUGGUGAGGUAACGGCUCACCAAGGCGGCGAUGCGUAGCCGACCUGAGAGGGUGAUCGGCCACAUUGGGACUGAGACACGGCCCAGACUCCUACGGGAGGCAGCAGUGGGGAAUAUUGCACAAUGGGGGAAACCCUGAAUGCAGCAACGCCGCGUGAGUGAUGACGGCCUUCGGGUUGUAAAACUCUGUCUUUGGGGACGAUAAUGACGGUACCCAAGGAGGAAGCCACGGCUAACUACGUGCCAGCCGCGGC
rnacentral:rRNA from 1 species